CAAAAAGUGUGAUACAGUGAGGUCACGUUCGUUAGAAAAUCAUCGGUAUGCUGCAGGAAGUGAGGUUGAAUUCCUCCACUGUCCCGCAACUGUGAAUGUGGUCCGCGCUGGGGCGCAAAAGCGCCCGGUUCGUAUGGCCGCAAAGUCAGAUACUGCUCAUAGCCGAUGCAUCAUC
rnacentral:ncRNA from 2 species